UACGGGGGUGGCAAGCGUUGUUCGGAAUUACUGGGCGUAAAGGGCGCGUAGGCGGCGAUACAAGUCAGAUGUGAAAGCCCCGGGCUUAACCCGGGAAUUGCAUCUGAAACUGUACUGCUUGAGUCCUGGAGGGGGUAGUGGAAUUCCCAGUGUAGCGGUGAAAUGCGUAGAUAUUGGGAGGAACACCUGCGGCGAAGGCGGCUACCUGGACAGUGACUGACGCUGAGGCGCGAAAGCUAGGGGAGCGAACGGG
rnacentral:rRNA from 1 species